rnacentral:rRNA from 1 species
UACGUAGGGUGCGAGCGUUAAUCGGAAUUACUGGGCGUAAAGCGUGCGUAGGCGGUUCGCUGUGUCCGAUGUGAAAGCCCCGGGCUCAACCUGGGAAUUGCAGUGGGUACGGGCAGACUAGAGUGUGGUAGGGGAGACUGGAAUUCCUGGUGUAGCGGUGAAAUGCGCAGAUAUCAGGAGGAACACCGAUGGCGAAGGCAGGUCUCUGGGCCACUACUGACGCUGAGAAGCGAAAGCAUGGGGAGCGAACAGG